rnacentral:rRNA from 1 species
UACGUAGGGGGCGGGCGUUAUCCGGAAUUACUGGGUGUAAAGGGAGCGUAGACGGCGAGGUAAGCCUGAAGUGGAAGCCCGCGGCCCAACCGCGGAACUGCUUUGGGAACUGUUUUGCUGGAGUAUGGGAGGGGUAAGCGGAAUUCCUGGUGUAGCGGUGAAAUGCGUAGAUAUCAGGAGGAACACCGGUGGCGAAGGCGGCUUACUGGACCAUAACUGACGUUGAGGCUCGAAAGCGUGGGGAGCGAACAGG